rfam:Omnitrophica WOR_2 bacterium RIFCSPHIGHO2_02_FTLL_52_10 rifcsphigho2_02_scaffold_24959, whole genome shotgun sequence.
CGGAGCGUAGCGCAGUUGGCUAGCGCACUUGUAUGGGGUACAAGAGGUCCUGGGUUCAAAUCCCAGCGCUCCGA